rnacentral:rRNA from 1 species
CGGCGGCUAUAGCAAGAGGGAAACGCCCGGUCACAUUCCGAACCCGGAAGCUAAGACUCUUUGCGCCGAUGGUACUGC